AGAAUAAUGGAGUAGAUUUCAACACUGACCCUCCUCCUGGAACACAAACAGGUCUGUGUGGUGUGAUAGAGCAGAAGGAUGAGGGAGGGGAGCAGUCCGAUUCAGCCUGUGGAGCUCAGACCCAACCUGGACACGCAGCUCUUUGCGAGAAGCAUUACAGAGAGUACCUGGUCAGCCUUAUCAACAGCCACACCAUCGAUCCCGCCCCACUCUACAGC